UGUUGCUCAUUCAUCUUUUUAUGAUGGUUGCCUAUUUAAAGCCUCAUAAGCCUCCGAAUGAUGCCAAAGAAAGGGUGCCUAUCGUCCAACCAAACCGAUAACAGCUCACGCAAGUGACUUUAUCAAGCAUUGGGCGACACGUGGAGUGAGGCACCGCCUA
rfam:Serratia symbiotica str. Tucson genomic scaffold scaffold00210, whole genome shotgun sequence.